rnacentral:misc_RNA from 1 species
GAAAUGCGAUAAGUAAUGUGAAUUGCAGAAUUCAGUGAAUCAUCGAAUCUUUGAACGCACCUUGCGCUCCUUGGUAUUCCGAGGAGCAUGCCUGUUUGAGUGUCAUGGAAUUCUCAACUCUAUUUGCUUUUGUGAAUAGAGCUUGGAUUUGGAGGUUUAUUGCUGGUACUUGUGAUCGGCUCCUCUUGAAUGCAUUAGCUCGAACCUUUGCGGAUCAGCUAUCGGUGUGAUAAUUGUCUACGCCGUUGCAGUGAAGCAUAUCAAUGGGCUCGGCUUCCAAUCGUCCUUUACUGGACAAUGACUUUGACCCUUGACCUCAAAUCAGGUAGGAUUACCCGCUGAACUUAAGC